rnacentral:rRNA from 1 species
UUGAAAGGGAAACGAUUGAAGUUAGUCAUGCCGGUGGGAAUCAACUUAGGGGAAACUCUAGGUGCACUUCUUCGCUUGGCAGGUCAACGUCGAUUUUGAAUGUUCAUAAAAUAAUUGGGGGAAGGUAGCUUCUUCGGGAGUGUUAUAGCCCUUGAUAGAUGUGAUGUUUGGGGUCGAGGAUUGCAACGGAUACCUCUGGGGCUAGCCGCCUGAUCUCUAAUCGGUGUUGGGUUACGGAUAGCAUGCUGACCGUGUUCGAAUUACUGGUUAAAAGGUUAGAGCGUGCAUAAAUUCGUUAAGGAUGUUGACGUA